UAAAUAAAUAAAUAAUAGAUUAAUAAAUAUUAGGUUAAAAAUAUAGAGUUCAUAAAAUACAUACAUUUCUAGUAAUAAUAGUUUAAUAUUAAAAGCAUCAUUUCAUAUAUUUCAUGUAUAUUGUUUGUUUUGAUACGGGAGAAAAGUCUUAAUUAAGGGGGGAACCAAAGUUUGCUGCCGCAGUUUGACGGAGUGUUAUGAUGGUCGUUACUUGUUAGUAACAUUCUGGACCAAGCUAGCAGGCAGACACCUCGCGGAUUCCUCUGCCUAAGACCAGCGAUGUUAUAAGGAAGAUUUGAAUAAAGUGCAUAGUGCAAUGAAGGACUGAAGGAAGAUACCUAAUUGUCUCUCAAGGGAAAGCGGCCAAUGAGCCAGUGGCCCCUGGAGGCCCCUGGGAGAGGGGGAAGGGACAUGGAAGCAGGAAACACUGGGGCUGAGGCCUGGGCCUGGAGCUGAACUCAACACACCUCUGAUAGAUGAAGAUGGAUGAAGCCAUUAAAGAACUGAUAGAUAAUACAUUGCACCGAUAAAAGUUGUCAUAGUAAGAGUCUCAGAAACAGGCUUACCGAUUCAGAGCCAAACCUGAAACUCGGGAAACACGGCAGAGUUUUGAACACACAACUAAAACUGCAUAAUCAUCACCAUAUCAAUAUUCUAAGAUGCCUAAGAUUUGUCUAAUAAAUUCAAAUUAAAGAACAAAAUGCACAGCAAAGUAGGAGCAACUCAAAUCAUUGCUGAAACAAUUAGUUUCAUUAGUCAACAAAUUGACAAAACAGCAUUUUAUCAUUUGAUAGUAGAUUUGAUAGAUACCUUUUUCUUCUCAAAGGUGAUGCUUUGCUACUUGUAACUUUGUCCUAUGUAAAAUUAAACUGACUUUGUGUAUUUUGUGUUAUUGUUCAUACACGAUACAUUUUGAGAGAUCAUUUUACUAUUGUUUUCGAUUUAGUAGACAAAAAAAUAAGAACAUUAUUAAAAGUUUAAAAGUCCAAAAAGAAAAUAAUGCACAACAAAUGUUGUCCUGGUGACUUUGCGUGUGAGACACACACCAUGUAAUCCCAUCAUUCCUGGUUCGAGUCCGGCCUGGGACCUUUGUGCAUGUGAUUCCUCUCUCUGGAUCUCAUUUACUGUCAGCUCUCUUCUGAACACUGUCUAAUAAAACAGAACUGUGGACUGUCAGGUUUUUAACAAUGA